GGGCUCGACACCGUGAUGGAGGGUGAAUAGGAGUGCAGGGUUUCCAUGGUGGAUAGCCUAGACUUGGAUCAUAAUAAGACGGUGGACUGACUAAGGCAGGCCAUCUAGGGGGUGGAGGGGUGUCCAUCUGCUUCGGACUUGGUGGUUACAGGGAUGGAGGUUAACAUCCAGAUGGAGGGGAUAUUGAUGAGGACCCCCUUCUCCACCAGCCACCCUAAUGAGGUUGCUGAUUUGGAAUACUCGAGGGGCGGGGGAAGCCCUCAUUCUGGAUGAUUUUUAGUAAAAUUAUCCA
rnacentral:lncRNA from 1 species